CCUACGGGAGGCAGCAGUGGGGAAUAUUGCACAAUGGGCGCAAGCCUGAUGCAGCGACGCCGCGUGAGGGAUGACGGCCUUCGGGUUGUAAACCUCUUUCAGUAGGGAAGAAGCCGCAAGGUGACGGUACCUGCAGAAGAAGCGCCGGCUAACUACGUGCCAGCAGCCGCGGUAAUACGUAGGGCGCAAGCGUUAUCCGGAAUUAUUGGGCGUAAAGAGCUCGUAGGCGGUUUGUCGCGUCUGCCGUGAAAGUCCGGGGCUCAACUCCGGAUCUGCGGUGGGUACGGGCAGACUAGAGUGAUGUAGGGGAGACUGGAAUUCCUGGUGUAGCGGUGAAAUGCGCAGAUAUCAGGAGGAACACCGAUGGCGAAGGCAGGUCUCUGGGCAUUAACUGACGCUGAGGAGCGAAAGCAUGGGGAGCGAACAGGAUUAGAUACCCUGGUAGUCCAUGCCGUAAACGUUGGGCACUAGGUGUGGGGGACAUUCCACGUUUUCCGCGCCGUAGCUAACGCAUUAAGUGCCCCGCCUGGGGAGUACGGCCGCAAGGCAAAACUCAAAGGAAUUGACGG
rnacentral:rRNA from 1 species